UACGUAGGUGGCAAGCGUUGUCCGGAUUUACUGGGCGUAAGGAGCGCGCAGGCGGUCGAUCAAGUCGCGUGUGAAAGCCCCCGGCUCAACUGGGGAGGGUCACGCGAUACUGAUCGACUCGAAGACAGGAGAGGGUAGUGGAAUUCCCGGUGUAGUGGUGAAAUGCGUAGAUAUCGGGAGGAACACCAGUGGCGAAGGCGACUACCUGGCCUGUUCUUGACGCUGAGGCGGCGAAAGCUAGGGGAGCAAACGGGG
rnacentral:rRNA from 1 species